rnacentral:rRNA from 1 species
UGCAAGUCGCACGGGGCAAAAUGAGUAGUAAUACAAGUUUUGCUCAGUGGCGCACGGGUGAGUAACACGUGAAUCACAUGCCCUUCAGUGGGGAAUAGCCCAGGGAAACUUGGAUUAAUACCCCAUGGUAUCGCAAGAUUAAAGGUGGCCAGCAAUGGCUGCCGCUGAAGGACUGGUUCGCGCCCUAUCAGCUUGUUGGCGGGGUAACGGCCCACCAAGGCUACGACGGGUACCUGGUCUGAGAGGACGAUCAGGCACACUGGAACUGAGACACGGUCCAGACACCUACGGGUGGCAGCAGUCGAGAAUAAUUCACAAUGGGGGCAACCCUGAUGGUGCAACGCCGCGUGGAGGAUGACGGUCUUCGGAUUGUAAACUCCUGUCAUCCGGGAGUAAGACCUGGCCGUUAAUAGCGGACAGGGUUGAUAGUACCGGAAGAGGAAGGGACGGCUAACUUCGUGCCAGCAGCCGCGGUAAUACGAAGGUCCCGAGCGUUGUUCGGAAUCACUGGGCGUAAAGGGAGCGUAGGCGGCGCGGUAAGUCAGAUGUGAAAUCCCGGGGCUCAACCCCGGAACUGCAUCCGAUACUGCCGUGCUAGAGGAUUGGAGAGGUAGCUGGAAUUCUUGGUGUAGCAGUGAAAUGCGUGGAGAUCAAGAGGAACACUCGUGGCGAAAGCGAGCUACUGGACAAUAUCUGACGCUGAGGCUCGAAGGCCAGGGUAGCGAAAGGGAUUAGAUACCCCUGUAGUCCUGGCAGUAAACGGUGUGCGCUUGGUGUGAGGGGAAUCGACCCCCCUCGUGCCGGAGCCAACGCGUUAAGCGCACCGCCUGGGAAGUACGGUCGCAAGACUAAAACUCAAAGAAAUUGACGGGGACCCGCACAAGCGGUGGAGUAUGUGGCUUAAUUCGAUGCAACGCGAAGAACCUUACCAA